AUCGAACGCUGGCGGCAGGCCUAACACAUGCAAGUCGAACGAGUGGCGGACGGGUGCGUAAUGUCUGGGCAACUGCCUGAUGGAGGGGGGUAACUACUGGAAACGGUAGCUAAUACCGCAUACCAUUGGAUGUGCCCAGAUGGGAUUAGCUAGUAGGUGGGGUAAAGGCUCACCUAGGCGACGAUCCCUAGCUGAUCUGAGAGGAUGACCAGACAGGCUGGGACUGAGAGACGGGCCAGAGUCCUACGGGAGGCAGCAGUGGGGAAUAUUGCGCAGUGGACGAAAGUCUGAUGCAUCCAUCCCGCGUGUAUGAAGAAGGCCGUCGGAUUGUAAAUGACUGGCAGCAGCGAGGCGUGACCCGCAGAAAAAGCAACGGCUAAAUCCGUGCCAGCAGCCGCGGUAAUUC
rnacentral:rRNA from 1 species